UACGGAGGGAGCUAGCGUUUAUUCGGAAUUACUGGGCGUAAAGCGCACGUAGGCGGCUUUGUAAGUUAGAGGUGAAAGCCUGGAGCUCAACUCCAGAAUUGCCUUUAAGGCUGCAUCGCUUGAAUCCAGGAGAGGUGAGUGGAAUUCCGAGUGUAGAGGUGAAAUUCGUAGAUAUUCGGAAGAACACCAGUGGCGAAGGCGGCUCACUGGACUGGUAUUGACGCUGAGGUGCGAAAGCGUGGGGAGCAAACAGG
rnacentral:rRNA from 1 species